rnacentral:lncRNA from 1 species
GAGCCUUGUUAUUUGCAGCUGUGGAAGAUAAAGGCUUAUAUAUCCCCACUAGGUCAUGAGUCAAAUCUGUAAGACAUGAUAAUAAGACACCAGGGGACAUAGCUGCACUAUUUCCCAUGGUAAAAAAGAAAAAAAAUGUGGGGGUAGGGUAACCUGUUAUUUUCUGUGCUUUAGAACUAAUAUCUUAAGAACAGUAGGAGAUAAUACAUUAUAAUUAAUUUUUAUCAAAAAAUCAUUUUCAGACUGAUAAUUUCAAUUAAAAAAUUUCAACUAAAUAUAUAUGUGGUUGUUGUUUAAAAGUAUCUAUUUUAAAAUUUUAAUUAAUGGACUAUGUAGCAUGGUGAAAUAAUAAUACAUAAAGUGUUGCUAAGUAGUUUCAACUCUAAUUGUAAUGAGAAUAAAAACAAAAUGAUGGCAUAUGAAAUGGUUAGUUAGGAUCUAACUCUAACUACCGGAAACUCGGUGAGAUGUAUUGGGCGUAGAUUAAGACCUUAAACCCCAAUUCUUGCUACCUACCCCCAACUGACCCUAUAACGGGUUGGGAUUGCUGAGUACCUUGCCUUGCC